rnacentral:rRNA from 1 species
UACGUAGGGAGCAAGCGUUGUCCGGAAUUAUUGGGCGUAAAGCGCGCGCAGGCGGUCUUUUAAGUCUGAUGUGAAAGCCCACGGCUCAACCGUGGAGGGUCAUUGGAAACUGGGAGACUUGAGUGCAGAAGAGAAGAGUGGAAUUCCACGUGUAGCGGUGAAAUGCGUAGAGAUGUGGAGGAACACCAGUGGCGAAGGCGACUCUUUGGUCUGUAACUGACGCUGAGGCGCGAAAGCGUGGGGAGCAAACAGG